rnacentral:sRNA from 1 species
CAUUUACCGUUAGACGUAAACAUUUAAAAGUAGAUAACAUUUUAGCUCGGCUGGGUUGUAGUAUGUAUAUCUUAAACAAAUAACUGUCUACGACACAACGGAAUAAAGUGACACAAACUAAACUUGCUAUGUUACACUUUAAGAGGAUCAAUCAUUGAAAUCCAUUGACUGUUAUUGCAAACAGACGGAGAUCCUAUCAACAAAUUAGCAAUGGCAUCUCAAGAGUCUCAAACAGACUGUGUAAAUACUGUCCCUUCAAAUACCCACGAAAUUUGCUAUCUCCACGAUUGUAACAGAUGUAAUAAAGAUCCUGCU